rnacentral:rRNA from 1 species
CUGUGAGCUCGAUGAGUAGGGCGGGACACGUGGUAUCCUGUCUGAAUAUGGGGGGACCAUCCUCCAAGGCUAAAUACUCCUGACUGACCGAUAGUGAACCAGUACCGUGAGGGAAAGGCGAAAAGAACCCCGGCGAGGGGAGUGAAAAAGAACCUGAAACCGUGUACGUACAAGCAGUGGGAGCACGCUUAGGCGUGUGACUGCGUACCUUUUGUAUAAUGGGUCAGCGACUUAUAUUCUGUAGCAAGGUUAACCGAAUAGGGGAGCCGAAGGGAAACCGAGUCUUAACUGGGCGUUAAGUUGCAGGGUAUAGACCCGAAACCCGGUGAUCUAGCCAUGGGCAGGUUGAAGGUUGGGUAACACUAACUGGAGGACCGAACCGACUAAUGUUGAAAAAUUAGCGGAUGACUUGUGGCUGGGGGUGAAAGGCCAAUCAAACCGGGAGAUAGCUGGUUCUCCCCGAAAGCUAUUUAGGUAGCGCCUCGUGAAUUCAUCUCCGGGGGUAGAGCACUGUUUCGGCAAGGGGGUCAUCCCGACUUACCAACCCGAUGCAAACUGCGAAUACCGGAGAAUGUUAUCACGGGAGACACACGGCGGGUGCUAACGUCCGUCGUGAAGAGGGAAACAACCCAGACCGCCAGCUAAGGUCCCAAAGUCAUGGUUAAGUGGGAAACGAUGUGGGAAGGCCCAGACAGCCAGGAUGUUGGCUUAGAAGCAGCCAUCAUUUAAAGAAAGCGUAAUAGCUCACUGGUCGAGUCGGCCUGCGCGGAAGAUGUAACGGGGCUAAACCAUGCACCGAAGCUGCGGCAGCGACACUAUGUGUUGUUGGGUAGGGGAGCGUUCUGUAAGCCUG